rnacentral:lncRNA from 1 species
UGAAAUGUUGGCAUCUAAAUAAGGCAUCCUGCUAUCGCAGAAACACCAAAAAUGUGUUUUCCUUAGUGCCGAUAGGGGAUUUUCCACCCCCAAAUCAGUGGUAUCUUUGUCUCUGCAGCGUGAAUUUUGACCUGCGAAUGUAAAAUGUUGGGUACUGAGCACAUAGACCCACAAAUAGUGGUGUAAAACUGCUAAAUUUAUGUAUAAAUUAUUUAAGGGUAAAUUUCAUGCAACCUCAUGUAAUAUGGUUCAAGCUGCACAAAAUGGCACAAAAUCACUAUGCAAUGAUGUUCAUAAAAGGUACAUUGUACUCUAGUACUCUACACCAGGUAAAUCAAUUAAUAUUUUUUUCUCACUUUCAUCAGUACUAUAUCUUUUAUAACCUUUUGGGAACUUGAUGGAUCGCAUUUCUGGAAAGAACAGGAUAUGAUGGUCAAAAUUUCUUGCUGGCAAAAAUAUGUAUUUUCAGCUUUUGUAGUAACUAGUACCAUCUGGAGAGGUUUACAGGGGCCAAGAUGAGCCUGAGCUCUCUGCUAGGGCUUCAGCACAGGGUCUAGACCCGAGAAAGCCCAUGAAUAUCAUCAUGGAAAAACCAAAUAUUUACAAAGAUAUAAAAGGUCUUUAGCUUGGAAUGAGAGAGCUAAGGCAAGCCCGGCCCAAGGCAGCUCAUUUUCAACAAGUACGCGUCAGAAAUCACUUUCCCCUCCCAUUUGCCUGGGAGCUCAUUCUCCACAUAAAGCACUAAAAUGAUAUUCUCAACCAUAUGCAUUGUUACUACUAAGUUAUGCAAUGAAAUGAUAUGAGAGUGAAUAAUUAUCAGAACCAAAUUAUUUGGCUUAAAAUGGCGUGUCAUCGGAAAUGGUUUGAUGCAAUGACAACACAUAUUCCACAGCUUAGGAGAAGGAGAAACAAAUGAGGAGUUGAGCAGUUCUAUCUUUUCAAGAACAUAUCACUGUUCCUUUUCAGCUUGCAUUUCAAGCCUUUCUGUACUUCCCUUAUCACCUCAAUUCUUCACACCAUACUCUGAAUUUGUGAUGGAUGAUCUGAAGAAUGGAAUCUUACCUAGAAUUAGAUCAAAGAACUGAAAGAAUCACCUACCGAAGAUCGCGAGAUGUUGAGAGCUAGAAAGAGGGAUACAGCCUAGCAUGGGGGAUGAGAAUCACUCUCUUAGCCAGGAAGGCUCACCAUCUUCCAUAUUUCAUCCACCAUCUGAGAACCCCAAGUGUGUUCCAGUGAUGAACCAAAUAGUGGAGAUAGGCAAGCCAUUCUUGGCUAACAGAGGCAAUCUCCUCAUCUCCAUGUAAGGCUACCCUCCUCACAAGUUUACUCUGCUUAAUUAACUGCCCUUAAUUGCUUGCCAUUUCAGCUAGUGUGCACCAAGUAUUUAUAGUGUGGACAAGAGGGUGGGGAUAGGG